rnacentral:rRNA from 1 species
CCUACGGGAGGCUGCAGUAGGGAAUCUUCCACAAUGGGCGAAAGCCUGAUGGAGCAACGCCGCGUGGGUGAAGAAGGUCUUCGGAUCGUAAAACACUGUUGUUCGAGAAGAAAGUGCGAGAGAGUAACUGUUCACGUUUCGACGGUAUCUAACCAGAAAGCAACGGCUAACUCCGUGCCAGCAGCCGCGGUAAUACGUAGGUUGCAAGCGUUAUCCGGAUUUAUUGGGCGUAAAGGGAACGCAGGCGGUUGUUUAAGUCCGAUGUGAAAGCCUUGGGCUUAACCGGAGUAGUGCAUUGGAAACUGGGAGACUUGAGUGUAGAAGAGGAGAGUGGAAUUCCAUGUGUAGCGGUGAAAUGCGUAGAGAUAUGGAAGAAUACCAGUGGCGAAAGCGGCUCUCUGGUCUGUAACUGACGCUGAGGUUCGAAAGCGUGGGUAGCAAACAGGAUUAGAUACCCGUGUAGUC